rnacentral:rRNA from 1 species
GAGUUUGAUCCUGGCUCAGGAUGAACGCUAGCGGCAGGCUUAACACAUGCAAGUCGAGGGGUAACAGAGGUAGCUUGCUACUUGCUGACGACCGGCGCACGGGUGCGUAACGCGUAUACAAUCUACCUUAUACAGAGGAAUAGCCUUUAGAAAUGAAGAUUAAUGCCUCAUAGUCUAUUAAUAUAGCAUUAUAUAAAUAGUAAAGCUUCGGCGGUAUAAGAUGAGUAUGCGUCCUAUUAGUUAGUUGGUAAGGUAACGGCUUACCAAGACAACGAUAGGUAGGGGCCCUGAGAGGGGGAUCCCCCACACUGGUACUGAGACACGGACCAGACUCCUACGGGAGGCAGCAGUGAGGAAUAUUGGACAAUGGAGGUAACUCUGAUCCAGCCAUGCCGCGUGCAGGAAGACGGCCCUAUGGGUUGUAAACUGCUUUUAUAUAAGAAGAAACCUUUUCACGUGUGAGAAGCUGACGGUACUAUAAGAAU